rnacentral:rRNA from 1 species
UUGAACGCUGGCGGUAUGCUUAACACAUGCAAGUCGAACGGAAACGAUACUAGCUUGCUAGUAGGCGUCGAGUGGCGGACGGGUGAGUAACGCGUAGGAGUCUACCUAGUAGAAGGGGAUAGCCCGGGGAAACCCGGAUUAAUACCGUAUACCUCCUUCGGGAGAAAGAAGGCCUCUCUUUGAAGCUUUCGCUACUAGAUGAGCCUGCGUAAGAUUAGCUUGUUGGUGAGGUAAAAGCUUACCAAGGCUAAGACGGGUAGCUGGUCUGAGAGGAUGAUCAGCCACACCGGGACUGAGACACGGCCCGGACACCUACGGGUGGCAGCAGUUUCGAAUCAUUC